GAACAGCAUCGUUUUUGACAUACGUGUUUAUCUCAGUCUUCAGGGAAACCUCUCAUCCGCAUUGACGGCAUUCCAGAUACUUGAGAAAAGUCUUCAUGGCAAACCCUCCUGCUCACAAACCUGAUCUAAAAAAGUUAUGAACCUCUGAACAAAUACAGGUGGACAGCAUGAAUGUAUGGCAAGGUGUUUGCAGACCUCCAGGCACCAGUGGAACUGAAAGGCAAUUAUGAGUCGACUUCAGCCUACACAUCUGUAGCCAUUAUUUCUCCUUCAACUUUGGAAGAUUCAGAACCAGAUUGCUUUUAUUUUCUUUUGCUGCCUAUAGGUGGGGAUUUCUGCAGCGUAGAUGUGCCCUGUUGACUAACAGGUGAGGUGCUAUUAUGACCAUUAUGCCACACAGCAACCCAGUAGAAAGAGAAAUUUUGCUGUGACCAGCUAUGCCAAUUUUUGUACAUCUGUUCAGAAACUAAAGGAUUUUAAAAUAGCCCUUAAAUGAACAAGGUACCCAUCUUUCAGCUGACGGAGGCUAUAAUUUGUUUUGUUUGUUGGAAGCAGUAAGGGGUAUCCAAAACACAUAUAUACACGUGUGUUUUUUAAGUCUUGAUUUUGAAUAACAGACAGCAUAUACUGCUAGCAUUCGUUUUUCUUAUUAAAAGUAAGAUUAAAAGGCAGGCUGUUUUGAAUCUAUUUCUAAGAGGAAUAAAUGAACAAUUUACUUCCUGGU
rnacentral:lncRNA from 1 species